rnacentral:rRNA from 1 species
GAUGAACGCUGGCGGCGUGCCUAAUACAUGCAAGUCGAGCGAACGGACGAGAAGCUCGCUUUUCUGAUGUUAGCGGCGGACGGGUGAGUAACACGUGGAUAACCUACCUAUAAGACUGGGAUAACUUCGGGAAACCGGAGCUAAUACCGGAUAAUAUUUUGAACCUCAUGGUUCAAAAGUGAAAGACGGUCUUGCUGUCACUUAUAGAUGGAUCCGCGCUGCAUUAGCUAGUUGGUAAGGUAACGGCUUACCAAGGCAACGAUGCAUAGCCGACCUGAGAGGGUGAUCGGCCACACUGGAACUGAGACACGGUCCAGACUCCUACGGGAGGCAGCAGUAGGGAAUCUUCCGCAAUGGGCGAAAGCCUGACGGAGCAACGCCGCGUGAGUGAUGAAGGUCUUCGGAUCGUAAAACUCUGUUAUUAGGGAAGAACAUAUGUGUAAGUAACUGUGCACAUCUUGACGGUACCUAAUCAGAAAGCCACGGCUAACUACGUG